AACUGUGGGUCCCUCCAUUUAUUGGAAAAACAUCAAGACGCACAUCACAAACUCUUUUCCAGUUUCCGUUCAGCUCGUCAGAAAACCGCUUCAGCAAUUGAAAAACGCCAAUUAUAUAUAUUAUUUACAUACAUACAAACGAGCAAAAAAUAUUGUCGAUAUUUGGCUUGCAAAGAUCAAUCAAAUUUCAGAUUAAAUCAGUUAAAAAGGUUGUUGCUUGUUAAAUAUGUUGAAAGUGUUCAAUAUAGUAACAUAUGGCGGAUUAAAUAUUUUUUUGUUGACAUUUUCUAAACAAGUACAUACAAGAAGUAAUCAUUGUCUGUGUAACUGCAGUUUACCACCUGCCGUUUUAGACGGAUUUUUUGACGCGUUGCAAGCCGUUGUGUGGCACGUGUACGCCACAAGCGAAAUAGGCGUUAAUACAUUUCGUGUUAAAAUCAUUGAACAUUUAAUGAGCAAGGCGAGUUCCUCACAUUUAACCUAUCGAUUAUAAAAUUUGAACACAUCGCUAACUAUUUAAAGCCAAACGAAUUAAAUUUCCUCUUACAGAACAAGGAUGGUGGCUUUCCGAAAUUGCUUCUAAAUAGAAGUGGCAAAUACAAGGUUUUGGCUCACAAUGUGCUUUUUUUUAUUUAUUAAAUAUUUGCGCGAAUUUUCUGUACGUAAUCUUCAAAAUAGAAAUAUCCGGUCCGUUUUUGUUUACUGUGUGCAAUUUGCAAAAUAUUUGUCAUAUCAAAGGACAAUCUUUACGCCACAAUAAACAAUAAUAUACAUAUUAUUACUUACAAGCAUUACUUUGUGGCCAUUUCUGCCGCCUAGAAUCUCGCUUGCUUUAUGCUUGCCGCAUCAUUUGCGGAUUACCGCACUCAAGUAAUACUGCUAUGUGUGUGUGUGUGUGUGUGUGAGUGUGGAUAGAGAAAUGGCUCAUUUCUUUGGAGGCAAUUGUGUAUUGUUAGGCAGUCAUGCGUAAGAUGCACUUCACUUGACCUGAUAUUGAGGUAUAAAGUUAUAAACCACAAAGUAGUUAAUUGGCAUUUCGUCGGCUUAAAACAACAAAGAAGUAGAUAUUACUUUGCUAAUGAGACAUACGGAGUCAUGCAUGACCGAAUCGAUGAGUGGCGGGCAGGAUGUGUAUUUAUUAAAAUAUAGUAAAAUGUUUCCGGUUUUCGUUUUAA